GACGAAGGGGGCUAGCGUUGUUCGGAAUUACUGGGCGUAAAGCGCGUGUAGGCUGCUCUGCAAGUCGGAUGUGAAAGCCCUGGGCUCAACCUAGGAAGUGCAUUCGAAACUGCAAAGCUGGAGUCCUGGAGAGGAAGGCGGAAUUCUCGGUGUAGAGGUGAAAUUCGUAGAUAUCGAGAGGAACACCGGUGGCGAAGGCGGCCUUCUGGACAGUGACUGACGCUGAGACGCGAAAGCGUGGGGAGCAAACAGG
rnacentral:rRNA from 1 species